GAUAAACGCUGGCGGCGUGCCUAACACAUGCAAGUCGAACGCCCUUACGCAAGUAAGGGAGUGGCGGACGGGUGAGGAACACGUGGGUGAUCUGCCUUGAGGUGAGGAAUACCGGCGAGAAAUCGCCGACAAUACCGCAUACGUUCGCAAGAACAAAGUCGCAAGACGCCUUGAGAUGAGCCUGCGUCCGAUUAGCUAGUUGGUGGGGUAAAAGCCUACCAAGGCAGCGAUCGGUAGCUGGUCCGAGAGGACGAUCAGCCACACUGGGAUUGAGAACGGCCCAG
rnacentral:rRNA from 1 species